rnacentral:rRNA from 1 species
UUGUAACAAGGUUUCCGUAGGUGAACCUGCGG